rnacentral:snRNA from 17 species
AUACUUACCUGCUGGUUUGUCAAACAUGAUCAUAUAGGUGUUUGGUGACUAAAAAGACUCUCUCUUGCACACCUGAGAUGACUUUUAGCUCCCUCAACCAUUACGGUGAGGGAACUAGCUAAUUUCUGGGAGUGGGGAGUACUGCGCUUGUCGCAUACUCCCU